rnacentral:rRNA from 1 species
GAUGAACGCUGGCGGCGUGCUUAACACAUGCAAGUCGAACGAUGAAGGAGGGCUUGCUCUCUGGAUUAGUGGCGAACGGGUGAGUAACACGUGAGCAACCUGCCCCUGACUCUGGGAUAAGCGCUGGAAACGGCGUCUAAUACUGGAUAUGAGCUCCUGCCGCAUGGUGGGGGUUGGAAAGAUUUUUUGGUUGGGGAUGGGCUCGCGGCCUAUCAGCUUGUUGGUGAGGUAAUGGCUCACCAAGGCGUCGACGGGUAGCCGGCCUGAGAGGGUGACCGGCCACACUGGGACUGAGACACGGCCCAGACUCCUACGGGAGGCAGCAGUGGGGAACAUUGCACAAUGGGCGGAAGCCUGAUGCAGCAACGCCGCGUGAGGGAUGACGGCCUUCGGGUUGUAAACCUCUUUUAGCAGGGAAGAAGCGAGAGUGACGGUACCUGCAGAAAAAGCACCGGCUAACUACGUGCCAGCAGCCGCGGUAAUACGUAGGGUGCAAGCGUUAUCCGGAAUUAUUGGGCGUAAAGAGCUCGUAGGCGGUUUGUCGCGUCUGCUGUGAAAUCCCGAGGCUCAACCUCGGGUCUGCAGUGGGUACGGGCAGACUAGAGUGCGGUAGGGGAGAUUGGAAUUCCUGGUGUAGCGGUGGAAUGCGCAGAUAUCAGGAGGAACACCGAUGGCGAAGGCAGAUCUCUGGGCCGUAACUGACGCUGAGGAGCGAAAGGGUGGGGAGCAAACAGGCUUAGAUACCCUGGUAGUCCACCCCGUAAACGUUGGGAACUAGUUGUGGGGUCCAUUCCACGGAUUCCGUGACGAAGCUAACGCAUUAAGUUCCCCGCCUGGGGAGUACGGCCGCAAGGCUAAAACUCAAAGGAAUUGACGGGGACCCGCACAAGCGGCGGAGCAUGCGGAUUAAUUCGAUGCAACGCGAAGAACCUUACCAAGGCUUGACAUAUACCGGAAACGGCCAGAGAUGGUCGCCCCGCAAGGUCGGUAUACAGGUGGUGCAUGGUUGUCGUCAGCUCGUGUCGUGAGAUGUUGGGUUAAGUCCCGCAACGAGCGCAACCCUCGUUCUAUGUUGCCAGCACGUAAUGGUGGGAACUCAUGGGAUACUGCCGGGGUCAACUCGGAGGAAGGUGGGGAUGACGUCAAAUCAUCAUGCCCCUUAUGUCUUGGGCUUCACGCAUGCUACAAUGGCCGGUACAAAGGGCUGCGAUACCGUAAGGUGGAGCGAAUCCCAAAAAGCCGGUCCCAGUUCGGAUUGAGGUCUGCAACUCGACCUCAUGAAGUCGGAGUCGCUAGUAAUCGCAGAUCAGCAACGCUGCGGUGAAUACGUUCCCGGGUCU